rnacentral:rRNA from 1 species
UACGUAUGGGGCAAGCGUUAUCCGGAUUUACUGGGUGUAAAGGGAGCGUAGGCGGCGGGGCAAGCCUGAUGUGAAAGCCCGGGGCUCAACCCCGGGACUGCAUUGGGAACUGCCCUGCUGGAGUGCCGGAGGGGCAGGCGGAAUUCCUAGUGUAGCGGUGAAAUGCGUAGAUAUUAGGAGGAACACCAGUGGCGAAGGCGGCCUGCUGGACGGUGACUGACGCUGAGGCUCGAAAGUGUGGGGAGCAAACAGG